UCCAGAGGGUGCAAGCGUUAAUCGGAUUUACUGGGCGUAAGGCGUGCGUAGGCGGUUCAUUAAGUCGGUUGUGAAAUCCCUGGGCUUAACCUGGGAACUGCAGUCGAUACUGGUGAACUAGAAUGCGGUAGAGGGUGGCGGAACUCCGGGUGUAGCGGUGAAAUGCGUAGAUAUCCGGAAGAACACCGAUGGCGAAGGCAACCACCUGGGCCUGCAUUGACGCUGAGGUACGAAAGCGUGGGGAGCAAACAGG
rnacentral:rRNA from 1 species